AAAGUACUGAAUGCGAUGUUUAACUUUUAAAUUAUCACAGUAACUGUAUGGGGAACUACUUAUAGAGUUUUAAGACACACUUACAAAGGACAAAGAACAACCAGAUCUGCCUAUUGUCGACUGUUGGGAAAACAACUAUUCAAAAAAUGUUGAAAGAAUGAUGCAGAAGGUGAUGAAUGUCUCCCUCAUGGGGAAGUUCAACCUAAGCGGACACUCAAGGCCUAAUAUUGAACCAAAAAUUGGAAAAAAAAAGCAGACAGCAGUGUAUUCUGUUUUAAAAACUAGUGUUAGCCAAAGUAUCAGCCAUACCGAAAAAAACUUGGAGGAUGUGGUUUCAAGCAUUUUAAGUACGCACCUGACAGAAAAGGCGGAGUGGGCCGAAGGCUAGAAAAACUCUCACCUUAAUGUGCAGUCAGACAGACUCUGGACCAUAACAGAUAUCAUUAUGAAAUGUGUAAUCACACCUUUGGUUAUUCCCAUUUGAUUGCUCAAUUGCUCAAUAGCUGGUCAAGGCCCACCAAUCUUGCCAUUGCCAUUGCCCUUUUGUGUUUAACACUUGACCAGUAUGUAGUUAAUGUAUGUACAAAUAUAAAUACUUAAUUUUAAAUAAAAGUCUUGACAUUUCAUUUGUAAUUGUAUUGGGAUAUUCCAUUGUCCCAUGACAUAUCUCAGAUUCUCUUUUAGAGCACUCUUUAUAACACUAGCAUUUUAAUCUCCCUCUUGGUAAUUGUACCUGUUUGCAUUUUUUUUACAAAUACCAUUUUGGGAGCAUGCACUUAAUUGUCUAUAAUAACCUAUGUUUGUCUUUUAAGUUUGCAUUUUGAUUAAUUGUGUUCAGAUAUGUAACUCAAAGCGUGAUAAUUCUGUGUCAUUACUUUGUAAUUGAUUAUGUACUACAGUGUUGUAUAUGUAGAUAGUCUUUUCAAAGAAAUAGGCAAGCUAUUCUACUUGCCCUGCAUCACGUUUGGUAGGAUUUUGAGUUGGCUUCCAAGGGCUGACUUGGUACUGAACAUACUUAAAAAAAUGAUUCUCUGUAUUUAAACGAACCAAAAUUUUGUUG